rnacentral:rRNA from 1 species
UACGGAGGAUGCGAGCGUUAUCCGGAUUUAUUGGGUUUAAAGGGUGCGUAGGCGGUUUGAUAAGUUAGAGGUGAAAUGUCGGGGCUCAACCCCGACAAGCCGUUGAAACUGGCUUGCUAGAGUGGGCGAGAAGUAUGCGGAAUGCGUGGUGUAGCGGUGAAAUGCAUAGAUAUCACGCAGAACUCCGAUUGCGAAGGCAGCAUGCCGGCUCCACACUGACGCUGAGGCACGAAAGCGUGGGUAUCGAACAGG